GAUUUGGUGUUGCAUGAUUGUUGCCGACAUAUUGGGGAUUUAUUCAUCCAACGAAUACAAAAAUUCAGUGUUUGUUGUUUUCUUAUGCGUGUCUUUUUGGUCCCACUCUAAGACUACCGUCACAAGCGGUCAUACACAGUCCCCAUAACUGUCUCACUGACUAGUCCCUCCUCGAGUAAUGUGAAAGCCGAAGCUUCAUCGCCU